AAGGACGUGAAAUACGAAAUAACAAGGGAGAWWWCUUUGAACUUGUUUAUCCUAACUGAAAAGG
rnacentral:rRNA from 1 species